rnacentral:rRNA from 1 species
AAGGAUCAUUACAGUAUGAACAAAGGAGAAGGGGGUUGUAGCUGGUCUGUUUGGACAAUGUGCUCGCCCUCUACUUCAAUUCCACAUACACCUGUGCACCUUGGACAAAGUGUGAGUCUCCGUUUGUGGAGAUUGAGGCUUUGUCUAUACACAUACACACUAAUGCCUGUUUAAAUGGAUGUCUGUUGGCUCUACGGAGCUUUAACAAAUUACAACUUUCAACAACGGAUCUCUUGGCUUCCACAUCGAUGAAGAACGCAGCGAACGUGCGAAACGUAAUGUGAAUUGCAGAAUUCAGUGAAUCAUCGAAUCUUUGAACGCAUCUUGCGCUCCUUGGUAUUCCGAGGAGCAUGCCUGUUUGAGUGUCGUGAAUACACUCUCAAACUUUAACCUUUUCAUUUUUGGGGUUAUAGUUUGGAUUUGGAUGUUGCUGCGAUCUUGUAUUGCGGCUCGUCGCGAAAUGUAUUAGCCUGGUCCACCGCGGUUUAUGACUUAUAAUGGUGUGAUAAGAAACAAUUAUUGUUGAUUGUAACAUUGUUGUUAUAGACGGGGAAGUGACGGCUUCUAAUGGUCUCUGUUGAGACAAUGUCAAUUGAUGUCAUCUGACCUCAAAUCAGGUAGGAUUACCCGCUGAACUUAA